CCAUAUCACGUUGAAACACCGGUUCUCGUACGAUCACCAUUUAAGCAAUGUCGAGCCUGGUCAGUACCUAGAUGAGUGACCGCUUGAGGAUACCAGGUGCUGUAAG